CCUUUUGGCUAAGAUCAAGUGUAGUAUCUGUUCUUAUCAGUUUAAUAUCUGAUACGUCCUCUAUCCGAGGACAAUAUAUUAAAUGGAUUUUUGGAACUAGGAGUUGGAAUAGGAGCUUGCUCCGUCCACUCCACGCAUCGACCUGGUAUUGCAGUACCUCCAGGAACGGUGCACCCCCUCGGGGGACUUACACUGCUUGUCUGAAGAAUAGACCUUCUUGAGUGAUUUACUUCUCUUGUCUUUGCUCUCUUUAACUUCUCUACUUCAAGCAGCUCUGCUACACCUGUGAUUCCGGGUUCUUCUAUACAGCUCUUUUGGGGCUUUUCUUCUUCUAAGCUUCAGAUAUGUACUUUUAAGUUGUUAGUCCUUAUGUAAGUUAGGACUUUGACCUUCAUAUAGUACACGGUCCACUCUGGUCAAGUUUAAG
rnacentral:lncRNA from 1 species